AUUGGACGCUGGCGGCAGGCCUAACACAUGCAAGUCGAGCGGAUGAAGGGAGCUUGCUCCUGGAUUCAGCGGCGGACGGGUGAGUAAUGCCUAGGAAUCUGCCUGGUAGUGGGGGAUAACGUCCGGAAACGGGCGCUAAUACCGCAUACGUCCUGAGGGAGAAAGUGGGGGAUCCUCGGACCUCACGCUAUCAGAUGAGCCUAGGUCGGAUUAGCUAGUUGGUGGGGUAAAGGCCUACCAAGGCGACGAUCCGUAACUGGUCUGAGAGGAUGAUCAGUCACACUGGAACUGAGACACGGUCCAGACUCCUACGGGAGGCAGCAGUGGGGAAUAUUGGACAAUGGGCGAAAGCCUGAUCCAGCCAUGCCGCGUGUGUGAAGAAGGUCUUCGGAUUGUAAAGCACUUUAAGUUGGGAGGAAGGGCAGUAAGUUAAUACCUUGCUGUUUUGACGUUACCAACAGAAUAAGCACCGGCUAACUUCGUG
rnacentral:rRNA from 1 species